rnacentral:rRNA from 1 species
UCUUGCACAAUGGGCGAAAGCCUGAUGCAGCGACGCCGCGUGGGCGAAGAAGGCCUUCGGGCCGUAAAGCCCUGUCGGGAGGGAAGAAGGUAGCGACGGUACCUCCCAAUGAAGCCCCGGCUAACUACGUGCCAGCAGCCGCGGUAACACGUAGGUGGCGAGCGUUAUCCGGAAUCAUUGGGCGUAAAGGGUGCGUAGGCGGCCUGUUAAGCGCGGGGUCUAAGGCGGUGGCCCAACCACCGUUCGCCCCGCGAACUGGAGGGCUAGAGUGUCGGAGAGGGAAGCGGAAUUCCUAGUGUAGCGGUGAAAUGCGUAGAUAUUAGGAGGAACACCAGUGGCGAAGGCGGCUUCCUGGACGAAGACUGACGCUGAGGCACGAAAGCGUGGGGAGCGAACAGG